UCCUUUUUGGUGAAUCUAUUUACAAUUGUAGCGGUUUUAAGUUAAAAAUUGCAUCCUACUGUAGUAGUUUGUGUAGGAAAAAUCGUACCGAACCGUUCUUUUCUCUGCAUAUUUUGUGCACAUGUGAGGUCAAAAAUAUUUGAAGACGUGCGGUUUUUUUUUGGGGGGGGGGGGCAUAAAACUAAAGAUUGAGUUCAGAUAACAUUGUCAACCAACCAAUAAAUUGUAACUGUCAUCGUUUUCUUAUACUUUGUUCUAUUAUUAUUAAUUAGCAUUAGCGUCAGGUACGUGUGUGUGGGGGGGAGGCGUUUCUAUUAUUCUAUACAUGUUCGUUUCAGCCUCUUACGUAGCAGCCUGUUCUGGAAUGCAGAUGGAGUUUUUGCUGAAAUUUUAGAGGAUAACUCAAGAAGGGGUUUUGGAAAUUAGGUAGUUAACAAUGUCACAGAAUAUGAGAAAUGUGGAUAUCUGUAUGUAGCACAUACUUAUGCAAUGUAAUACUGCUUGCUAGAUGUAUAUUUUUCAAUGUUUUUAGGAACUAGUCAGAGAUGGUGACUUAGAAGUUGGGAAUACCAUUCAUAUUUGGUGUAUCCGCUUCUGCAUGAUGUCCUUGUUAUCAGAUGACCUGAAUAGCUUUGCGCAAGGCUGGAAUGACAGAAGGAAGCUGCCUGGUCACGGUGCACCUGCUGGCCGUCCAAAUGCGCUUUAUUUCCUGCCACACCUUUCAGGGGGCCAAAACCUACUACAAGACGUGGAUGCGAGGAUGCUCCACCAUGCACAGCGAGAGUGCACAUCACCCUCACUUGUUUGGAAUGACAGAUUUCAUCGCUACUUAUGUGAUAUGUUGCAAAGGUUAAAUAAGAGGUAUCCCACAAAUUGCGAUGAUGCAUCUUUCUUAUGCGCUUUGAUCAUCCUGUAUUAUACAAACACAUCUCAAAUUAUAUUUUUAACAUUACAAAGAAACGAGAAGAAGCCGAAC